rnacentral:snRNA from 1 species
AUAGUGUCUAUGCCUUUUGGCUAAGAUCAAGUGUAGCGGCUGUUCUUAUCUGCUUAAUAUCUGAUGUGUUUUUUAUUCAGAGAAAUAGCAACAAGGAAAAAUGAAAUGGAAGAGAGAUAGAAUGGUAAGAACUAAU